GUCGGCAAGCAUUCUGAUACUUCAGGAAGUUGUCUGCAGGGGCCAGACAAUGGCUGCAACCAGAGGCAGAAGCUGGUUCUGCCCAUAGGUUGAUUUCCCUGUUCCUAGAGUGAGGAUGUCUUCAUUCUCUCCAGAGCAAAACAGAGAGAUGUCCAUUCGGGUUCUUCUCCUCCUCCCAGCCAGUGACCACUCUGUAAUGCCACUAUCAUGCUCAGUUGUCCUGCUGUAGCUGAAAUCAUUUCUGCAGCAACCUCUUGGAAUUACCUUGAAGAAGCAGCCCAGACAGAUCCUCUGAACAUUCUCUAAGGUAAGAAAGCUGUUUCUUUGGGGUCAGAUUUGUUUUGGGGGUGGUGGUGGUCAGUCAGUCACCAUUUGGAAACUGCUCCAGCCCAAACAAUUUCAGAGUUCUGACACCAGAACCACCCUCACCCCGACCUUCGCCUUCGCCCCCUCCCCCUACACACACAGCCAAGGUUAUGGCUUUGUGCUAUAAAACAUUUCUCACGAACUCACUCUAAAGGGAGUUUCAAAAGGAACAUUUCAAAAUAAGGUGUUUUGAGUAAUGGCUACAUUCCAGGAAUAAGGCUACAGCCUCCCAGAGGGACAAUUUGGAUUUGAACUCCUCCUCUGAUGGAGGAGUUCUCAAAUGUUCUUUCCAAAAAGUUUGUUACUUUCUACAUAGACCAUAUGAUUUCCACCAUUGGAGAUCACAAGAGCCUGUCUGUGGUCUUCUUUUCUUUUCUUUUCUUUUCUUUUCUUUUCUUUUCUUUUCUUUUCUUUUCUUUUCUUUUUCUUUCCUUCCUUCCUCCCUCCCUCCCUCCCUCCCUCCCUCCCUCCCUCCCUCCCUCCCUCCCUUCCUUCCUUCCUUCCUUUCUUCCUUUCUCUCUCUCUCUUUUUCUUUUUUCUCCUCCUCCACCUCCUUCUUCUUCUUCUUCUUCCUCUCUCUCUCUCUGUCUUUCUUUCUGUAUCUCUCUCUUUUUCUUGUGUUAUAUCUGGUUAUCAUAGGUUUGGUUGGGAGGGCACCUUUUCUUGGUAAAGAUGAAGUGGGUAAGGACUGGCCAUUCCUCUUGUCAUCACCACCUUUUAGCCCCCUCCUCCUCUUUCUUCCUGGCCUGCCAGCUGGACACUCAGGCCUGGGGCUCCUUGGGGGCCGGCAGUCCCAUCCUUCUGGCUCUGCAGUGCAGCUGUCUUCAAGGGCCCCC
rnacentral:lncRNA from 10 species